UACGGGGGGAGCAAGCGUUGUUCGGAUUUAUUGGGCGUAAAGGGCGCGUAGGCGGCCUGGCAAGUGGAAGGUGAAAUCCCUCGGCUUAACCGAGGAACUGCCCUCCAAACUGCUUGGCUUGAGUCCGGGAGAGGUGAGUGGAAUUCCCAGUGUAGCGGUGAAAUGCGUAGAUAUUGGGAGGAACACCAGUGGCGAAGGCGGCUCACUGGACCGGAACUGACGCUGAGGCGCGAAAGCGUGGGGAGCAAACGGG
rnacentral:rRNA from 1 species